rnacentral:rRNA from 1 species
CGUGUAGGCGGCCAGGUAGGUCUGCUGUGAAAACUCGAGGCUCAACCUCGAGAUGUCGGCGGAAACCAUCUGGCUAGAGUCCGGAAGAGGAGAAUGGAAUUCCCGGUGUAGCGGUGAAAUGCGCAGAUAUCGGGAAGAACACCCGUGGCGAAGGCGGUUCUCUGGGACGGUACUGACGCUGAGACGCGAAAGCGUGGGGAGCGAACA